AGCAGCCGCGGUAAUUCCAGCUCCAAUAGCGUAUAUUAAAGUUGUUGCAGUUAAAAAGCUCGUAGUUGAAUUUCGGGGUCAGUAGAUUGGUCAUGCCACUGGUAUGUACUGGUCUCACUGAUUCCUCCUUCCUGAUGAGCCGUAAUGCCAUUAAUUUGGUGUUGCGAGGAAUCUGGACUGUUACUUUGAAAAAAUUAGAGUGUUUAAAGCAGGCUAACGCUUGAAUACAUUAGCAUGGAAUAAUGAAAUAGGACGUUCGAUCUUAUUUUGUUGGUUUCUAAGAUUGACGUAAUGAUUAAUAGGGAUAGUUGGGGGCAUUAGUAUUCAAUUGUCAGAGGUGAAAUUCUUGGAUUUAUUGAAGACUAACUACUGCGAAAGCAUUUGCCAAGGAUGUUUUCAUUAAUCAAGAACGAAAGUUAGGGGAUCGAAGACGAUCAGAUACCGUCGUAG
rnacentral:rRNA from 1 species